GUCCACGCCGUAAACGAUGAUAACUAGCUGUCCGGGUUCAUAGAACUUGGGUGGCGCAGCUAACGCAUUAAGUUAUCCGCCUGGGGAGUACGGUCGCAAGAUUAAAACUCAAAGGAAUUGACGGGGGCCUGCACAAGCGGUGGAGCAUGUGGUUUAAUUCGAAGCAACGCGCAGAACCUUACCAGCCUUUGACAUCCUAGGACGGUUUCUGGAGACAGACUCCUUCCCUUCGGGGACCUAGUGACAGGUGCUGCAUGGCU
rnacentral:rRNA from 1 species